rnacentral:rRNA from 1 species
UGAGUUUGAUCCUGGCUCAGAAUCAACGCUGGCGGCGUGCCUAACACAUGCAAGUCGCACGAGAAAGUGGAGCAAUCCAUGAGUAAAGUGGCGCACGGGUGAGUAACACGUGAAUAAUCUACCUCCGAGUGGGGAAUAACUGAGAGAAAUCUUAGCUAAUACCGCAUAACACUUACGAGUCAAAGCAGCAAUGCGCUUGGAGAGGAGUUCGCGGCAGAUUAGUUAGUUGGCGGGGUAAUGGCCCACCAAGACGAUGAUCUGUAUCCGGCCUGAGAGGGCGCACGGACACACUGGAACUGAAACACGGUCCAGACUCCUACGGGAGGCAGCAGUGGGGAAUUUUGCGCAAUGGGGGAAACCCUGACGCAGCAACGCCGCGUGGAGGAUGAAAUAUCUUGGUAUGUAAACUCCUUUCGAUGGGGAAGAUAAUGACGGUACCCAUAGAAGAAGCCCCGGCUAACUUCGUGCCAGCAGCCGCGGUAAUACGAGGGGGGCAAGCGUUGUUCGGAAUUAUUGGGCGUAAAGGGUGCGUAGGCGGUUUGGCAAGUCUUAUGUGAAAUCUCUGGGCUCAACCCAGAGUCUGCAUGAGAAACUGCCGGGCUUGAGUAUGGGAGAGGUGAGUGGAAUUUCCGGUGUAGCGGUGAAAUGCGUAGAUAUCGGAAGGAACACCUGUGGCGAAAGCGGCUCACUGGACCAUAACUGACGCUGAUGCACGAAAGCUAGGGGAGCAAACAGGAUUAGAUACCCUGGUAGUCCUAGCCCUAAACGAUGAUUGCUUGGUGUGGCAGGUACCCAAUCCUGCCGUGCCGAAGCUAACGCGAUAAGCAAUCCGCCUGGGGAGUACGGUCGCAAGGCUGAAACUCAAAGGAAUUGACGGGGGCCCGCACAAGCGGUGGAGCAUGUGGUUUAAUUCGACGCAACGCGAAGAACCUUACCUGGGCUCGAAAUGUACCGGAAUCCGGCAGAAACGUCGGCGU